AGUGAACGCUGGCGGUAGGCCUAACACAUGCAAGUCGAACGGCAGCACAGUAAGAGCUUGCUCUUACGGGUGGCGAGUGGCGGACGGGUGAGGAAUACAUCGGAAUCUACUUUUUCGUGGGGGAUAACGUAGGGAAACUUACGCUAAUACCGCAUCCGACCUACGGGUGAAAGCAGGGGAUCUUCGGACCUUGCGCGAUUGAAUGAGCCGAUGUCGGAUUAGCUAGUUGGCGGGGUAAAGGCCCACCAAGGCGACGAUCCGUAGCUGGUCUGAGAGGAUGGUCAGCCACACUGGAACUGAGACACGGUCCAGACUCCUACGGGAGGCAGCAGUGGGGAAUAUUGGACAAUGGGCGCAAGCCUGAUCCAGCCAUACCGCGUGGGUGAAGAAGGCCUUCGGGUUGUAAAGCCCUUUUGUUGGGAAAGAAAAGCAGCAGGUUAAUACCCCGCUGUUCUGACGGUACCCAAAGAAUAAGCACCGGCUAACUUCGUG
rnacentral:rRNA from 1 species